rnacentral:lncRNA from 1 species
CUUACUCCUAUUUGUCUAGUUUACAUGGUAAAUUUCUAUUGCCCUCUUCCUAUAUAAACUUGUAUUGUAGAAUAUCCUUGAGUUUCCCUACAGCUCUAAUAUUACAAAUGUGAAUAAUUUCUCUCACAAUGCUUUGCCUUUCUCUAUACAUCUUCUCAAAAACGCUAUGAUUUCUUUCCACCCGUAUGCUAUACACUGUUUCAGCUAGAACCAUUCUCAUCAGUUGCCCUUCAGUUGUUUUCUUCUUUGCUUUCCCCAUGAACCAACAUAGUAACUGGUUCCAUGUAGUAGCUGGUAUUGGAAUUUGUAGCCAUUUGAAUAUGCCAUACCAUAGUUCCAUAAUGAUAGAACAAUUGUCGAAUAGAUGAUGAUGGUGCUCUGGUUGACAUUUACAGAAUACACAAGUAGUAUCCAUGUUCAUGUUCCAUUUGCUCAGCCUGUCUGCCAUUAGCAUCCUUUCUUGAAUGAUCAGCCACAUUGAAAAUAUAGCUUUGGGUCUAGCUAUGUUGUUGAACAUAACUGCUUUCCACUCUACCUUGUAUAAUAUUCCCAGUUGCUGUAAGUGUAUUUGCUUGAUGAUACUGCCUUUGUUCCCUUGGUUUCGAUUCUAAAGCUUUGGCCCUUUGAUAGUCAGGAUUUUUUGAACUAUCCAGCUAGCUUGUCUAUGCUCCUUGAUACUCAAUAUAGGCUGCCCUUUUAUAUAGUACAUAUGCACCCAUUUGAUCUACAAUCUGUCAUUUUUUGAAGCUAGGUCCCAUUGUAAUUUGAGAAUAGCUGCUUUGUUCCAUUGCUUCAGGUUUAUGAUAUUUAAGCCACCAGAACUCUUUGGUCUUAAUUCUCUCUCCCAGGAGAUUAGUGCUCGUUUGAUUAUUCAUUUGUCCCUGACCACAUAAAACUCAUGCAAUAGGCUCCAAUAGUUUUGAUCACCUUAGUUGGAAUCAAGAACAUUUGGGACCAAUAGGAUUGGAUACCAAACAGUACAACUUUUAUAAAUUGGAUUCUCCCAGAAUAUGAUAAUUUCUUUGCAGUCCCGGAAGCAAUUCUUGCUACAAUCUUUUCAAUCAAGGGUUGCCAUUGGAUUACCUUCAUUUUCCUAGUAGUUAUAGGGACUCCUAGGUAUUUGAAAGGUAAUUCACCUCUUAUAUAGCCCAACUAUUGCAGGAUGUCUUUCUGUUCUAUGUCUGUUACCCCACUAAAUAAACUGAGCUUUUACUUAGAUUAGCUUGAAGACCUGAGGCUGCAGAGAAAACAUCAAAGUAUUGUUUCAGUAUUGUCACAGACUGCAUAUCCCCCUUAGCAAAUAAUAACAGGUCAUCAGGAAAACUCAAGUGAGUAAUGCCUAGUUUCUUGCACUUUGGGUGGAAGUUGACUUGUUUCUUGUCCUUCAGUUCUUUCAGCAGGCUACUUAGGUAUUCCAUGGCUAUAGCGAAUAGGAAGGGUGACAUUGGAUCACCUUGUCUGAGUCCUUUUGAUGCAUGGAAAGGUUCAACCAACUCACCAUUGAUCAAUAUAGACUAACUCACACUUUGGAUACAAGCUGCUAUCCAUUGUGUAAUUUGUAAGGGAAUCCUAAUCCUUCCAUAACCUGUAGGACAUAACUCUAUUCCACAUUGUCAUAGGCUUUUUGUAGGUCCACUUUGAUCAUGCAUCUAGGUAAUAUGUGUUUUAUGCAUCUAGGUAAUAUGUGCUUUCUUGAGUAGGCUCUAAUCAGUUCAUGAGCUAGAAUAGUAUUGUCUGCACCUUUCCUUCCAGGUAUAAAGCCAGCUUGUGCCUUAUUAAUUAUGUAGUUCAUAACUUUCUGCAGCCUGGAUGCUAAAAGCUUAGCAAUGAUUUUGUACAGAACUGAGCAACAAUAUAUAGGCCUAUAAUCUUUUAUAGUAGCAGGAUUAGAUAUCUUUGGUAAUAGAGUGACAGUUGUGCAGUUAAUGACCCUGGGCAUUUUUCAUGUUUCAUAACAUUCUUUGACAGCAUCAUAAACAUCUUCCUUCAUUAUAUCCCAUGCUUUCUUAAAAAAUACUGCAUUAUACCCAUCAAUCCCAGGAGCUUUAUCAUUUCCAAUAGCCUGAAUACAGUCAUCAACUUCCUAUCUGGUUACAGCUUUAAUCAACUCCAUAGAUUGUUGUUGAAUUAGUUGAGGUCCCUUCUUCAUUGUUUGCAUAUUCACAGCAGGUAAUUGAGCAGCAACUUUCCCCAUAAGUGAUCUGGUUAAGUCUACAAUCUCUCUCUUAAUACUCUUUGGCUCAGUCAGUGUAUUACCAUUCAAAGCUGUUAGGGCUGUAAUGUUUUUCCUGCAUGCUCUUUCUUUCAUCACUGCAAAAAAAUAUUUAUUGUUUCCAUCUUCUAUUCUGAUCCAUUGAGCUCUUGAUUUUUGUUGGAAAAUCUUUUCUUCAAUGUGACCACUUCUCUAGUUUUUCUGUAGCUGCUUUCUCCAUCAUUCUUAAUUAGUCAGUGUAUCCAUUCUUCAUCUCUUGUUGACAUUCAAUUAUCUCCCUUCUUGCUUGGUCAAUUUUUUCUGCUGCAUCUCUGAAAUUCCUGUUGUUUAGAUUCUUGAAAUCUGCUUUCAUUUCUUUCAUUCUAUUCCAGAUGGUUACUAAUUUGCACUGAUAUUGUCUUCCUUGAAAUCCUUUAGUAACUAUACAUUAGAAUUCCUCAUGAUCAGCCCAAACAUUUAAGAACCUAAAUAGGAUUUUUACAGACUUCCUUCUUUCAAAUUUUAGAGAUAAAGGAGAAUGAUUUGAAAUGAAUGGAUCUCCCACUUAAACUGUUAGGUGCCCAAACUUCAUCAUCCAUUCACCAUUCCUAGUGCUCUAUCAAUUCUGCUAUUUACUUUCUUCACUCCCAUUUGACCAUUAGACCAGGUGAAAUAGUCUCCCCUCCAAGGGAUAUCAGUUGUCAUGGUAUCUAAGCAGAAGUCUGCAAAGUCUUGGAUAUCAGCCAAUGUUACUUCCUGCCUUGAUAUUCUAUCUUGAGUAGUCUUGAUUGCAUUAAAGUCUCCGUAUAUGAGCCAUGGUUGGUAAAUAGAUUGAGCCAGUAUCUUUAGCUUUUGACACAGUCCUUUCCUCAUAUCUGCACAGUUAUAUCCAUAUGCCACAAUCAUAACACAACUCACGUUUGUGCUAGUAACAUUACAAUGAAUAAACUGUGCAUCUUUAACCAUUGUAUCCACCUGCCAAAUGUUUGCAUCAAACAUAAUCCAUAUUCUACCAUUAGCUGCUUGGUCAUAGUUGUGCACAAGUUCCCAGUUAGUUGCUAUUUUAGUGGAAAAUACAGAAGCUUUAUGCUGUUUAACUCUAGUCUCUACAAAUCCAGCAGGUGUUAUGUGUUUGUCUUUGAUGUACUUAGCUAACUCUUUCUGUUUAUGCCUUUGGUUUUCCCCCCUUACAUUCCACAUAAGUAUUGUCAUUUCAGAUGAACAUAUGUACCACCUCUAUCUGGUGGUUGCCUAUCCUCUUGUCCUCCGUUUAGAAUCCCAAAUGCAUUUUGUAUGGCAAUAGAGAAAUUCAUACCAAUCUGUGCAUUGCUAGAGCUAGUAGCACCUUCAUUUUGCCCCUUUGAGUUAGUAUCUUUCCCAUUCUUCUGAUUGUGCUCCUGUGUCUUUGUCACUGAUUUCCUAUUCUUUCAGGGGAUUUGUUGUGCUCCAUAUUAUGUGCAGGUUCCUUAACAUUUUUCACAACUUGAUCAUUUAUUGUCACUGCUACACUUGUGUUCUGUGCCUCUUUUCUUUGGUUCUCCACUCUUUGACUGGUUGUUGUGCCCUUCCAUUUGGUUUCUGCAUUUUCUUCCAUUGUAUUUCCUCAUUUCGUUUACACACAUGUCCUAUUUGUUGACAUUCAGGGAAGAACUCAGGUUGCCAUUCAAACCUCAGAACUUGAUGGUGUAACUUUCCCGAUGGAUCCCUCAUUUUGACUUUAUCUGGCGAUGGUUUUGUUAUGUUAACUUCAAUCAGCAUCCUAGCAAAGGAUAUUCUAGAUUGCUUAGCUAUACAUUCAUCUACAAAUAAGGGAAUUCCAAUUGCACUCCCUAGCCUGCUAAGCAAGACCUCACUCCAGUAGGUCAUAGGCAAGUUGGGAAAAGAGACCAUAGAGGUAUCUCUUUCAGAAAAGUGGCAUCAAGCCCAACAUUUGGAGACCAUUUCUUCAGAAUGAUUGGUCUAUUGUUUAUCGUGUAAGGUCCUCCAUAUAACACUUCCUUCAAAUCUUUUUCCCAUGUAAGCUUUGCUAGGUAAUAUCCCCUAUCAUGAUAGAAUAGCUCAGAACAUGUCGUAGACCAAUUUUGGCUUAUGUAUCACUUCAUGUGAUUAUACCCAAGAAUUUCCCCAAUUACAGCAACAAUCAAAGAAUGCUUCCAUUUUUCAGCUUCCUUUGCUGUCUCCUUAGGAUCUAGUUGAAUAACUACACUUCCACCUUCAAUUGUCGGUGGGAUGCAAGACAAAGCAAAGCCAUUAGAAGCCAUUCUAUUCCUAGAAAACAAAUUUUCCCAUACCAGAGCUUCUCUAUCCUUGUUUGGUUCCGAUCUCUGAGAAAUUUCAUUUGCAUGUACAGUUGUUUGAAUUUUUUCUACGAUCGUUACAUUCAAAGAUGGAGGCAUGCAAUCAUUCAGCAUUUUACUCUUUCCAUUAUCAACAUUUGUUGUUCUAACUUCCUCAGUUACUUCUAUGUGAUUAUUCAUAGUAG